rnacentral:rRNA from 1 species
AUUGAACGCUGGCGGCAGGCCUAACACAUGCAAGUCGAACGGCAACAGGAAGAAGCUUGCUUCUUUGCUGACGAGUGGCGGACGGGUGAGUAAUGUCUGGGAAACUGCCUGAUGGAGGGGGAUAACUACUGGAAACGGUAGCUAAUACCGCAUAACGUCGCAAGACCAAAGAGGGGGACCUUCGGGCCUCUUGCCAUCGGAUGUGCCCAGAUGGGAUUAGCUAGUUGGUGGGGUAACGGCUCACCAAGGCGACGAUCCCUAGCUGGUCUGAGAGGAUGACCAGCCACACUGGAACUGAGACACGGUCCAGACUCCUACGGGAGGCAGCAGUGGGGAAUAUUGCACAAUGGGCGCAAGCCUGAUGCAGCCAUGCCGCGUGUAUGAAGAAGGCCUUCGGGUUGUAAAGUACUUUCAGCGGGGAGGGAGGGAGUAAAGUUAAUACCUUUGCUCAUUGACGUUACCCGCAGAAGAAGCACCGGCUAACUCCGUGCCAGCCGCCGCGGUAAGAC